GAUGAAGAACGUAGCGAAAUGCGAUACGUAAUGUGAAUUGCAGAAUUCAGUGAAUCAUCGAAUCUUUGAACGCAUAUUGCGCUCUCUGGUAUUCCGGAGAGCAUGCUUGUUUGAGUAUCAGUAAACACCUCAACUUCCAUAUCUUUUUUGAAAUGGGAGUUGGACUUGAGUGAUCCCAACGCUUUUCCUCACCGAAAAGUGGCGGGUUACUUGAAAUGCAGGUGCAGCUGGACUUUUCUCUGAGCUAUAAGCAUAUCUAUUUAGUCUGCCUAAAAAACAGAUUAUUACCUUUGCUGCAGCUAACAUAAAGGAGAUUAGUUCUUGUGCUGACUGAUGCAGGAUUCACAAAGACAGGCUUCGGCCGACUUUGUAAACUCGAUCUCAAAUCAAGUAAGACUACCCGCUGAACUUAAGCAUAUCGAUAAGCGGGGGA
rnacentral:misc_RNA from 1 species